CAGGCCCAUCUGUGUGUUACUGGACCCUUGUGGCCCAGCCCGUGUGGCGUGUGUGGGAAUAGGCAUAUAAGCCUGCAGGUGGCGUGUGUGUGAGGCAUCGGAUUGUAAUCACAAUUAUUGUUCUGAAUUCAAGCUUUCCUCCCUGCUUCCUUCCCCUUCUCCAAGUCUUCUCUCUCAGAUAUUUUCCUUGGUUCGAGAUCCACAUCCCGGCGUGACGCAGGGAGGUGCUACGGGAACGUAGCAAGAAAAUUCUCGCGUAAAUCUAACAUAUAACUUGCCCACAAUAACCCUUGCAUUCGUGUGUGUGUUUCCCCUCGACGCCAGGUUUGAUCCGUCCCCAACCACCCCAGCGCCGAGGAAGACGCUCUCUAUGCCAUGGACCGCUACCCCGGCCAGGCCCGCGCUCCUGCUUCGGGGUGCUCGAGUGCAGGCUAGGGUUAAGGGGGGCGAGGGAGGGUGCGGGCAGGGCAGCAGCGGUACCUUCGGAGCUUGGAGUAAGCCUCGGCGCGGCGCUGCUGCACCGCGAGGAACCCACGGAGCAGAUCGGCCACCCUGGCAGCGCUCUGCCCGGCGCUGCUGGCCGCCGCGUCCAUGACGUCCCCGGCGGUCGAUUUCACUUCCGCCAUCUGGUCGCCGUUUCUUUUGCCUCCGGUCUUUUGCGCUACUUUCCUGAUUUUUUUUAUGGAACUUCUUUCCUGAUUCAAGUGAAGUUUUCUUCUCUCCACUCUUUACUUUAUUUCCCCCUACCACUUAUCAAAUCACGCUGGUUUUUAUUUUUUUUAUUUUUAUGUUUUAUACGAAAAUGAAUGUUUUCUACUCCAACGCUCUUAUAUUAUGAGAGGAGGAAGUAAAUAUUAUAAAUAAAAAGACACCAGCCAGGACUCAAAAGUGGGCAGGCUGACAAAAAAAUUGUUUA